rnacentral:lncRNA from 1 species
GUGUAGUGUCCCUUUAAAUUACCUGCUAAAUUAUGAGAUUCAUCCUGCACUUAUCAUUAAUACCACCUCCAAUUUGUUCAUCAAGCCUAUAGCAUUUACAAGAAGAUAUUUAAGGGUACCCAUCAUUGUUUUGUAGUUUAUUAAAAACGAUCAAAUAGCAACUUACUUGCUUUACUAAUUUCACCAGUUGCCCCAUGUCUACCCCCCAUAAGUUUCACACGUGUUUCACCUCCUCUCUAUACAACCUACAUAGCUUUUUUUUCUGUGUCGCUAGUUUAAAGCCAUCUUCUCUCCAGACACAGCAAACAGUUGUCCAGUGAAUUCAGGACAUGGCCACUUUAAUGUUUCUCUAGCUAGAACAGAGAGAGUUACAGCGUUAAAAUCCAAAUUAUGCAUUUCCAAAGUUGUCAUUUGUAGCUACCUGCAUCAGUAACAUUUAUUUAAACUAUCUGUCUUGUGAAACCGUAGAUGCAAAACAAAAGUUAUUUCCAAAAACCGAGAAAAAUAUAGCGGCAAAAAGCAAUUCUGGUGGACAUAAGUAUUUAAGUUAGCUUCCAGAAUGCUCGAGAUAUGGGCUGCCUAUUGAAGAUGGCAGAGUUCCCUAUAUAAAUGUAUGACAACUUUAAUCUUAAAAAGUUUUUAUUCAGCAGUUUUGAUUUUAUGGACAUUUAAAUAAUAUAUUUAAACAUUUGUGACAUUUUCAUGCUAACAACCACAUUGGCCAAAUAUAAAAGCAUGGAAAUAGCACGUGCGUAGAUAAUGCAUGUAGAAAAGUCAUAUACAAAAAAGUAAAUGUCUACUGGCCUUUGUGAAGACUGAUCCUCAUAUUAGCUAAGACAUUUGUGAGAUUGAGAAAUCAUAUCUUUAACACGUUGUAAUAUUGCUUGUUAAUGAAAUAAAUGCAAAUAUAUUCUUGAAGGUAAUUGGCUCAUGGUUGCCAUCUUGGUUUUAAUAUUAACUUCCUUUAAGCUGCCAUGAUAGAGACCUAGCUGUGGACAUACUCUCUAGUAUGCUCAUUUUCCCAACGAACAGUUUUUUUAGAAAACAUGACCGUGGACAUGUGUGCCAAAAUUUGCAUGGUUCUAACAAUUAGUAUUAGGAAAGAAGAUGUUAAAAGAAUUUCGAGCAAUCCAAUAUAACUGCUGAAUCAUGUGUCCAAACUUCUCUUGAACAAAUCUGAAUCUAAAUCACACAUCAUAAUUUAAUAAUUAACAAAAGUUACAGAUCUGUAGUCCAGUAGAAGAAUUUCUUUCUUUUAAUAUUGUGCAAAAUUAGAUGCAAACAAAAAAUGACUGUAAAACCAUGUGAUAUAGGUGGCUAAGCCAAAAAAUUGAUCACCAAACUCAAGAUGACCAAGAGAUGUACCUAUAGCCUUGUUUUGGCAAAGGAUAUAGCGUACCAUACGUCUCUACCAUUACAUGUAGUUUUAAGAGUUAUGUAUUAAUGGUUUGGUUUUUAAUAGGAAUUUUAAAAAGUGGUUAAUCAUAAAACUACUAGCAAAAAUUUGAACAAAAACAGUAGUUUGUCCUGCAACGCUGUUGCUUGGCCACCUAGAAAUAUGAGUCAUGCCUAAUUCACAGACAUUUUAUGAAAACAAUAUUACAAUAUAAAGGCAUAGGAAUUAAAAUAAACAUCUUAUUUUGUUGACAUGCUCAGAUUUUGGAGCAUUCUAAUAAAAUUUGUAUUGACUUUUUGUGUUAUACAAUUUUGUUAAUUUGAUAAAGUUGAUCUUUUAACUUUUCAGUUUGGACUUUAACAUUAUUAGAGGGAUUUAUUUUUUAUUUGGAAGAGUUCCCAUAUAUUUGCAUAUGAUUGCAAGCAUGACUUCAUCCGCUCCAGCUCCUAUUGAAAGUAGUCUUGAAUCUCUGAAAAA